rnacentral:sRNA from 1 species
UCGCAUACCAAUGGUUGUUGUCAGUGC